AUCCAGCUGAAGAGUGCCAAAUAGGAUGAAACGCGCAUUCUGGAU
rfam:Schistosoma mansoni strain Puerto Rico chromosome 7, complete genome